rnacentral:lncRNA from 1 species
UUUGUGUCUCUAGUGGCAGUGCUUUGCUUUGUCCAGUCAAAGUUGUCCGUAUCAUCUUGAGUGAAAAGGCAAAUGUUACCAUCCUCAAACCCACAGUGGAACUCUCGUAGGUGUGGAUUUACUGGAGCACUAUACUUGAUGACCCGAAUAGUGGAGUCCCCUUCUCCAAAUCUGGUGAUGGGUGUCAGACGGACUUCAUAUGCCUCUGGCUUGAUGAGCUCAGUUAGAUUGUAGGUAAUUAAUUCUCCCUUUUGAAUAUUUCCAUUCACUGUAAUUUCC